UACGUAGGGGGCAAGCGUUGUCCGGAUUUAUUGGGCGUAAAGCGCACGUAGGCGGCUUUGUAAGUUAGAGGUGAAAGCCCGGAGACUCAACUCCGGAAUUGCCUUUAAGACUGCAUCGCUUGAAUCAUGGAGAGGUGAGUGGAAUUCCGAGUGUAGAGGUGAAAUUCGUAGAUAUUCGGAAGAACACCAGUGGCGAAGGCGACUCACUGGACAUGUAUUGACGCUGAGGUGCGAAAGCGUGGGGAGCAAACAGG
rnacentral:rRNA from 1 species